rnacentral:sRNA from 1 species
UUACAAGCUAUAAAGAGAAUGGGAAAUUGAUACUGGUACUCAAAUGGUACUGUAAGUAAAAAAAGAAUAACUUGAAUAAUAGUUCCAAGUGGUUUACAUUUGGACAAAAAAUUGAGAAUGUGAAUUAUUUUGA